rnacentral:rRNA from 1 species
UGGGGAAUAUUGGACAAUGGGGGCAACCCUGAUCCAGCAAUGCCGCGUGUGUGAAGAAGGCCUUCGGCUUGUACAGCACUUUUGUCCGGAACGAAACGUGUCGGGUUAAUAGACCGGCAAACUGACGGUACCGGAAGAAUCAGCACCGGCCAACUUCGUGCCAGCAGCCGCGGUAAUACGAAGGGUGCAAGCGUUACGCGGAAUUACUGGGCGUAAAGGGUGCGUAGGUGGUCUUUUAAGUCCGUUGUGAAAUCCCUGGGCUCAACCUAGGAAUGGCAGUGGAUACUGGAAGGCUAGAGUGCGGUAGAGGGUAGUGGAAUUCCCGGUGUAGCAGUGAAAUGCGUAGAGAUCGGGAGGAACACCAGUGGCGAAGGCGGCUACCUGGACCAGCAUUGACACUGAGGCACGAAAGCGUGGGGAGCAAAC